GAUCUCUUUCAAUCCCAGUAGCCAGUAAAUAACAAUCCAUUUGAGUCAGUAGAUCAACAACCAACUUUGUUUAUUCCGAUCAAUCUUGACAAUCGGGGUCUUUCUGUGCUUUCUAGUGCAACAAAAUACCAACUCGUCCAAACAGUUCCCAAGUGCGGUGCCGUUUACAGUCUUCCUCGAUUCCCACGUGUCCUAUCGAAUAAAUCAUCCUUUGACACGUCUCCGGGGACUUUUUUCCUUCAAGGAGACGAAAACGUACCAAAGGGCACAAGACACAAAAAGUUGCGCGCGUGGGUUGAAAGAAACCAUUAUGGACCUUGAUUCCGCAUAAUUUCAUCAUUACGAGUCACCGCAAUCACAAUUUUACCUUCUUUCCUGGGCUGGCUCGGAACCCGUAAUCAAAUAAAUCCGGGCAUCCGCACAAAAAGGUGAACCCUUUUUUUCAGGGCCCUAUUAUUGGCGCGAAUUCUAACGAAACCGGGUCAUAAAUCUAAAUUUGUGCAAUUCAGUGGAUCGGAAAAGGAGAGCACAAAAAACGUUACAAAAACCGGUGACCGUGAAGUUUUAUAAUGAAUCAAAACUAUGUGCGAAAAUGUGAAGAAUAUUUGCAAAAUAUGCCUCCCCAAAACGAGGCGCAUCCUUCGGUCCGAAGGCAACAACGUGUUGAAUCGGGUUCUGUGAACCAAAGACUGAUAACGACCGCCGCCGUCAACAAGGGGAAACGAUAUCCGGCAUCCCGAAAAACUGCCCAACAGCCAGAACCGUUCGGAGGCGAAAAGCAGUCAAUCAAUAAUCCUGUGCCUAUUGGUGUUGAUUCGAAGGGAUCAGUUUGGAAAGUAAAAGGUAAAACAUUGUCCAAUCCGGGUCAGCAGGAGAAACAACCAGGCUCCAAAUAUGUUCGGCCUUGUUGUCGCCCACCGCCUCAUCAACAGAAACGGGUCUUAGUGGAUAGAGUUCCUUGCGCCCGCCCCAAUUUAUCCGUUGGAGGAUGCCCGCAAAAGGCUAGUGAUAAUGUCAAUCAGUCUGACAACGAGAAACCGUUGGAGACGCACCCGAUUGAGCAACCCACCAAGAGGUAUUACGAGUACGGGUCAGUUGAAGACGGGCAGCGGCAGCAAAAUGCGAAAAGCGUAACAACCGGCAGCUGGGAUGGAAUUCUGACGUCUACGGGCACGGGAAUGUCGUUGUCGCAGAUCAAAUCAAAGAAUGCGUCUCAUCACAGUGCAGUGCCCGCCGAGGUCCCACCAGGACUACAGUCAACGUCAGCAUCCUCAUCAUCAUCGUCAGCAGCGCCAUCGUAUUCUACCACACGACCGAACAGCUCUAUUGUAGCCGUUCCCCCGCAGCCCCGACGAUCUGCGGCAACACCCCAACCUAGCCGGCCCAAUGUGAUGUGCAAGUCAUCGGAGCUGGAUACUGACGGUAUUAAUUUAUUCCGUUUCGAUCCACUGAGGACCCUUCAAUUUUUAACGCUCGAGCUCAAGUCCAAGCUGAAAGCUCUCGAUUCCUCCACUAGUGACAGUCCAGAGCUCAAACAGUUGUACAAAAUUUCCAAGGAGGUUUUGCUGGCAGUGAAAAUAUUAACCGAAAGCUGGAAUGUAAAUCAGAAGCUAACUGGCAAUUGUAAGCGGUGCGAGAAGCUUAAAAUGCACCAAUCUGACGUGAAUCAUGUUAGCAUCAACUCACAGGAUACUAUCGGCGUGAGAUGCAAGAGCUGCGAUAAUCUCAGAAACGAGCUGGACCGGCAAAGUGCGCACCACUCCGAGCAGACUGAACUACUAAACGAGGAAAUUAAUUAUCUCAAGGCCAAAUUGAUGACCCCCGCCAACAACGGCGACAGCACAAAGCACCAGUCAAGGGAGCAGCCCGAGCCGGAAAGCUGCCUUCCGAACCCAACCUUGCCGCCAACCGAUCUGGAGCUCCAAAAGUGGCUGGAAGGGGAAAUUAAGCGAUUGCAGACGAUGAUAAGUGACAAACAAACGCUCCAAGACGGCCUUAUCGACGAUCUCAAUCGGAAGCUGCAGGAAGCCACCAGUCGCUGUCGCCAUCUCGAGCUCGCCCGGAACGAGUCGGAGAAGCGUCUUCUGUACGCAACGCUCGAGAACGAACGGCUGAAUUUUCUCCUAAACACUCAAGCAUCGACCAUGACCACCUUGAAAAGUGAUUUCCGUGCAAUUGAAACCCUCGCCCACCAACAAAUCGACCUUUUCCAAGAUCGCACUCAAAGCCCUUCUAAUGCUGGCCACACGAGUGCCACUCGUUCCCCCAUUGGCGACAACAAAGCAUCGAACCCCAUCAACACCACCAUCAUCGAUAAUCACCAUUGCAAUUAUCGGCAACCUUCCAGCGCAAUCCCAUCGACAAGCCGUUUCUCCUCCGGUACUCCUUCCGGUGACUCCGAUGAUGGCGAUAGCAACAGAAAUCAGCAGCCUUUUUCCAGCCCUGGUUGGCAGCAGCAAUCAUCAAAUGCCGAUACCACCACCAUCACCAGCAGCAGGAAAAGCUCCCAGGAAAAACUCGAUGCAUGCAUGGGGGCGGAAAAACUCAGGAAGCAAAGGCGUCAUUAUGGCUUUAAAAAUAUCGCUGAAAAAGAAAGUGACGACGGUAAUGAUGCUAACGACUUGCUGGCUUCACUGCCAUCCUCGUCUUCCCGUUCGAUGACGGCACUAUCGGAGGCACUAAAGACGACAAAGGUACUCGGCGACAACACCCUGGAUGCUACUGCUACUGCAUUCCGACGAAAGCCAGAUGAUCAUUUGAUGAAUGUUCAGGAGGAAGCUGAUGCAGCAGCUAUUGCCGGGAACGAUGGGAGAAAUGGGUCAUAUUUCAAAUCAACCGCACUAGCACAAACUUCUGCACCGCAUGAAAAGUUGAGCUCAUCGAAAUCCAUGUCAGCGAUCGAAUGUGUGCGAUCAAAACCAGUCAGGCGAACAAUUUUGAUUGAUUCGGAUUGUGAGUUAUCAUUACCGGAACCGGAAAGGCCGUUUUCCAAAGCUGGUGUCGACGUCAAUCAGAACUAUGCCGUCACCGAUUUCCCAGUGCCAGAGGCUAAAAAAAGAUUCCCCCUCUCAGCCAAAGGUAUGACCAAGGGAAAAACAAUCGAUGGUAAAAAUGAUUCCAGUAAGACUAAUAAUGAUUGCGCCAGACUAAGUUUCCGACCGGAGCAGCAACAACACCAUCAACAUCUGCCGCCGCCGGGAUUGGAACGGCUAAUGGCAUCAGUGGCUGGCAAACCUUCUUUCCCAAAAGGCAACGGCAAAAAGGACAACGACAAUGGCGCCGGAGCCACCAUGGAAGAAAAAUACCCAAGGGAUUAUGGUGAUAAAUUUGAGCGGCGUGAAAGUUGCUUGCUCCGGUUGCCGUUUUCGCCGGAGAGGGAGCUUUGCCAAAAUCGUCCGAUAAUAGGUCAGAUUAGACAGUCAGGACGUAGUGCCGGUGAGAAGGCACCGAAAGGAACUAGUGCGAUGUGACAAUUCGACGGGGAAGUCAAGGAGUCAGGAGAAGGAAGGAAAGCCUUCGCUGUCGCUAACGAGUCUACUUCCGGCCCACGGCGAACGGAGGAGUUUUCUAUUGACUUUGAUGACAUAACUCUACCAACCUCGCCAAUUCCAUUCCAAGGUGGAAGCCUUUCAGCGAUUGCAGAAAAGCUCGUAUCAGCUGAUUUUUGAGUAUUGUGGUUAUCAUUUGUUUAUUUUAACAUUAGGAUGAGGUAAGAAUGACACUUGAUGGUGUAUAAAAUUUUAUAAUUAGUUUGUCAUAAAUUCCAAAUAUGGCUUGCAUUGCAAAGAGUAAUUUUUGAAAUUGUCCUGAUUAACAUUUCCCAAACAUCGUUUUUUGGCAACGCCUUGCAUUUUUUACAAUUCCUUUGGAAUACCCCAGGACUACUUUUGCUUCGAGAUCAACAUAGCGGUUAGAGAAUUUGUGAAGGAAUAUUUAGCAAAAUAGCUGAAAGGCAGGUGUGAAUUAUUAAAAUACUCAAAAAGAAAUAAAGAAUAGUAAUCUUCGUCAAAA